AAAGGACUGAGAUUUAUCACAGGAGUGUUGCUUUUUGAGAAGAAUUAGCCCUAUGUGCCAACUGAGGCACAUCAGCUGCCUCCCGUUUUAACAUGCAGCCUGGAAUCAAGUAACUUUCAAGCUGCAGCAAGUUCUACCUCUCAGUGCCUCUUCAAGGCAGGCUGCUGUGUUUGUGCUCACUACUAAAAAUGAGCUAUGUCCCUGUUUGCACUGCUGACCCUGACAAGACAAUGCAGCAGGUAGAAAGCAGAAUCUUGGAUAGAAAAGGAAAUGGCAGAAUCAAGAACUACCUACAUUGGUAAGGAGAAGGUAAAGGUGUCUUUCAGAAGAGGAGGGUUUUAUGCCAUUUAGAGAGCUCCUACCCAGG